UGCCAGCCGCCGCGGUAAUACGAAGGUGGCGAGCGUUGUUCGGAUUCACUGGGCAUAAAGGGCGAGUAGGCGGUCGGCCAAGUGAGAAGUGAAAGCCCACGGCUUAACCGUGGAACGGCUUCUCAUACUGGAGAGCUUGAGGAUGGGAGAGGGAAGUGGAAUUCCAGGUGUAGCGGUGAAAUGCGUAGAGAUCUGGAGGAACACCAGUGGCGAAGGCGGCUUCCUGGACCAUACCUGACGCUGAGGCGCGAAAGCGUGGGGAGCAAACAGGAUUAGAUA
rnacentral:rRNA from 1 species